rnacentral:rRNA from 1 species
CCUACGGGAGGCAGCAGUGGGGAAUAUUGGGCAAUGGAGGCAACUCUGACCCAGCAACGCCGCGUGAAUGAUGAAGGUCUUCGGAUUGUAAAGUUCUUUUCUAAGGGGAGAAGAAAGUGACGCUACUUUAGGAAUAAGCCUCGGCUAACUACGUGCCAGCAGCCGCGGUAAUACGUAGGAGGCAAGCGUUAUACGGAAUGACUGGGCGUAAAGGGGGCGUAGGUGGGUUGACAAGUUAGUAGCGAAACUCCGGAGCUCAACUUCGGAACUACUACUAAAACGGUUGGACUUGAGUGCAGGAGGGGAAAGCGGAAUUCCUAGUGUAGCGGUGGAAUGCGUAGAUAUUAGGAGGAACACCAGUGGCGAAGGCGGAUUGCUAGACUGUAACUGACGCUGAGGCACGAAAGCGUGGGGAGCAAACAGGAUUAGAUACCCGAGUAGUC